rnacentral:rRNA from 1 species
GCAAGGGCGGACGGUGGAUGCCUAGGCUUAGGGAGGCGAUGAAGGACGUGAUAAGCUGCGAAAAGCUGCGGGUAGGUGCAAAUAACCUUUGAUCCGCGGAUUUCCGAAUGGGACAACCCGGCACAGUGAAGCUGUGUCAUCUCAUUUUGAAUGAGAGGCGAACGUGGGGAACUGAAACAUCUCAGUACCCACAGGAGAAGAAAACAACAGUGAUUGCGCAAGUAGUGGCGAGCGAACGCGCAAGAGCCCAAACCUGAUUUGUAUUUAUGCAUUUCAGGGGUUAUAGGACUGCGACAUUUGUCAUCGGGAUGAAUUGGAAUUGUUCUGGAAAGUUCAAUCACAGAGGGUGAUAAUCCCGUACAAGUAAGUUUUGAUGGCAAUAGCAGUAUCCUGAGUAGCGCGGGACACGAGGAAUCCUGUGUGAAUUUGGCGGGACCAUCCGCUAAGGCUAAAUACUCCCCUAAGACCGAUAGUGAACUAGUACCGUGAGGGAAAGGUGAAAAGCACCUCGAACAGAGGAGUGAAACAGAUCCUGAACCCGUUCGCUUACAAGCGGUCGGAGCCUGUAUAGUAUAUGGGUGACGGCGUGCCUUUUGCAUAAUGAACCUACGAGUUACUCAUUCUCUGGCGAGGUUAAGCACUUCAGGUGCGUUUUAGCCGAAGCUAACGCGAGUCUUAACAGGGCGACGUAGUCAGAGUGAGUAGACGCGAAACCAAGUGAUCUACCCUUGGUCAGGUUGAAGGUUGGGUAACACCAACUGGAGGACCGAACCCAUUGAUGUUGAAAAAUCCUGGGAUGAACUGAGGGUAGGGGUGAAAGGCUAAUCAAACUUGGAGAUAUCUCGUACUCCCCGAAAUGCAUUUAGGUGCAGCCUGUGGAUAGUUUAUAAGAGGUAGAGCGACUGAUUGGAUGCGAGGGUUUCAUCGCCUAUCAAGUCCUGACAAACUCCGAAUGCUUUAUAAACGUUUCCAUGGAGUGAGGGCAUGGGUGCUAAGGUCCGUGUCCGAGAGGGAAAGAACCCGGACCAUCGGCUAAGGUCUCUAAAUAUGUGCUAAGUUGAACUAACGAAGUCGGGGCGCAGCGACAGCUAGGAUGUUGGCUUGGAAGCAGCCAUUCAUUUAAAGAGUGCGUAACAGCUCACUAGUCGAGCUCUCCGGCGUGGAUAAUACUCGGGCAUUAAGCAUAUUACCGAAGCUGUGGAUUUGGUAUUUCAUAUACUGAGUGGUAGGGGAGCAUUCCUGAAUUUGCGUCGAAGGAAGGAGGUAACUUUUUCUGGAGCAUCAGGAAGAGCAAAUGUAGGUAUAAGUAACGAUAAGGAGGGUGGGAAACCCUCCCGCCGAAAGACUAAGGUUUCCUGAUCAACGCUAAUCGGAUCAGGGUUAGUCGGGUCCUAAGGUGCAGCCUAAUGGCGUAGCCGAUGGACGAACAGGUUAAUAUUCCUGUACUGGUUAACAAUUAGCGAUGUGGUGACGAAGUAGUGACAGUCCUGCCGCCUGACGGAAUAGGCGGUUGAAGGGUGUAGAUGUUGAUUGCGGCAGGCAAAUCCGCCGUGAGAGUCGAACCUGAUAGUACCGUGCGUGCUUGCACAAUCGGAUAUGGAUGUAAUCAGACUUCCAAGAAAACCCGCUAAGUGUUUGAGUUGUUAACCACCCGUACUGUAAACGGACACACGUAGUUGUGUAGAGCAUACUAAGGCGCUCGAGAGUUUCACAGCUAAGGAACUAGGCAAAAUUGUCCCGUAACUUCGGGAGAAGGGACGCCUCCCCGCGUUGAGCGGGAGGCCGCAGAGAAUCGGCCCAGGCGACUGUUUAGCAAAAACACAUGGCUUUGCCAAAUCGCAAGAUGACGUAUAAGGCCUGACACCUGCCCGGUGCCGGAAGGUUAAGAGGAGAUGUUAUCGCAAGAGAGGCAUUGAAUUGAAGCCCCGGUAAACGGCGGCCGUAACUAUAACGGUCCUAAGGUAGCGAAAUUCCUUGUCGGGUAAGUUCCGACCUGCACGAAUGGUGCAACGAUCUGGGCACUGUCUCAGCUGUGAUCUCGGUGAAAUUGUAGUAUCGGUGAAGAUGCCGAUUACCCGCAACGGGACGGGAAGACCCCGUGAACCUUUACUGCAGCUUUACAUUGUAUUUGGGUAAUUAAUGUGUAGGAUAGGCCGGAGACUUUGAAGCAGCGACGCCAGUUGCUGUGGAGUCAUCCUUGAAAUACGGCCCUUUGGUUAUUUGGAUACUAACUCUUUACGAGAGGACACUGUAUGGUGGGUAGUUUGACUGGGGUGGUCGCCUCCAAAAGUGUAACGGAGGCUUCCAAAGGUGCGCUCAGGCCGAUUGGUAACCGGUCGCAGAGUGUAAUGGUAUUAAGCGCGCUUGACUGAGAGACCCACAAGUCGAUCAGGUAGGAAACUAGGGCAUAGUGAUCCGGUGGUUCCGCAUGGAAGGGCCAUCGCUCAAAGGAUAAAAGGUACUCCGGGGAUAACAGGCUGAUCAUUCCCAAGAGCUCAUAUCGACGGAAUGGUUUGGCACCUCGAUGUCGGCUCGUCACAUCCUGGGGCUGGAGAAGGUCCCAAGGGUUGGGCUGUUCGCCCAUUAAAGUGGCACGCGAGCUGGGUUCAGAACGUCGUGAGACAGUUCGGUCCCUAUCUGUUGUGGGCGUUAGAAAUUUGCGAAGGUCUGGCACUAGUACGAGAGGACCGUGUUGGACGAACCUCUGGUCUAUGAGUUGUUCCGCCAGGAGCAUUGCUCAGUAGCUACGUUCGGUUAGGAUAAGUGCUGAAAGCAUCUAAGCACGAAGCCGGCUUCAAGAUAAGAUUUCUUUACAUAGGGUUGUGGUAGACUACCACGUCGAUAGGUUACAGGUGUAUAACAGAGAUGUAUGAGCCGAGUAAUACUAAUUACCCGAAGCGCUUUUG